AAAGUACUCCCUCCGUCCCAAAAUUCUUGUCUUAGAUUUAUCUAGAUACGGAUGUAUCAAGUCACAUUUUAGUAUUAGAUACAUCCAUAUCUAGACAAAUCUAAGACAAGAAAUUUGGGACAGAUGGAGUAGUUG
rnacentral:pre_miRNA from 1 species